CUCUACAGCCAUGCCACUCUGAACAAGCUCGAUCCUGUCUGACCUUGGAAGCUAAGCAGGGUCGGGCCUGGUUAGUACUUGGAUGAGAGACCAUCUAGGAAGACCAGGUGCUGAAGACG
rfam:Pteropus alecto contig97892, whole genome shotgun sequence.